GAUGAACGCUGGCGGCGUGCCUAAUACAUGCAAGUCGAGCGAACAGACGAGGAGCUUGCUCCUCUGACGUUAGCGGCGGACGGGUGAGUAACACGUGGAUAACCUACCUAUAAGACUGGGAUAACUUCGGGAAACCGGAGCUAAUACCGGAUAAUAUCUUGAACCGCAUGGUUCAAUAGUGAAAGACGGUUUUGCUGUCACUUAUAGAUGGAUCCGCGCCGCAUUAGCUAGUUGGUAAGGUAACGGCUUACCAAGGCGACGAUGCGUAGCCGACCUGAGAGGGUGAUCGGCCACACUGGAACUGAGACACGGUCCAGACUCCUACGGGAGGCAGCAGUAGGGAAUCGUCCGCAAUGGGCGAAAGCCUGACGGAGCAACGCCGCGUGAGUGAUGAAGGUCUUCGGAUCGUAAAACUCUGUUAUUAGGGAAGAACAAAUGUGUAAGUAACUAUGCACGUCUUGACGGUACCUAAUCAGAAAGCCACGGCUAACUACGUG
rnacentral:rRNA from 1 species